AUCUGCAUGCCCUCAAAAUAGUUAUUGCUCAAGUCUAGGAAACUGAGAUGUUUCAAAUCGAGCAAAGAAGGAUUUAUUUUGCCUCCUAGCAUUGACCGAUAGCAAGCAUCCCGUUCAGCAACUGUCGUAACCUUAUCAAGCCGACAAGAAAGAAGCCCCAAGUGUAGCUCAUAGACAUGGCCAGUUCAGUUAUCGCAGAGAACACCAACCCAUUUACAGAAAUCCUCUUGAUCACCUUCAAUCCAAGAAGAUAGCCUGUUUGUUUCAUCAAUGAGAUCAUGCUUGAACUUCAAAAGGGCUUGUCUCUCACUUUCAAUGCAAAGCACAUUGGAAUUCCCAUCACAAAAGCUAAUAACGGUAGCUACGAUGACAAGAAGAAAUACAAAUAAGGAAAUUGCAACCGCCCUCAUGGUUGCAUACAGAGCAUUGCUCCACCGGAUAAAUAUAGAAAGUUAAAGAAGAAUACUUUUCCAACCACAUCAAGCUCAAGGAACUUUCCCAGACCCCGAAUUUUCAUAUUGCAUUUUCCACAAAAGCAUUUAUAAUCCGUUGAAAUAUUCGUUUUUAAAGAAGUUUCCUCUUAAUUGCAUGGAAAAAGUGCGCUUUUCUUUUUAAAGGAUUGCUACCCACCCAUGGAGGAUAGGAUAGGAAAAAGUGGGUGUGUGGACUGUAUUUGCUUUGAAUGACUUUGGCUUAUAUUGUGUACAAGUCAAGUGACUAUUUUUAGUCAAAAAUCACCUCAGUCUUCUUCGCUAUUCUUUUUCUAGUAACUGCUGCUUAGUAUAAUUUUAAAUCUAAUUUAUUUUCUCAAAAUUUUAAAGCACUUCUUUUCUUUUCUUUUUUUUCCCUAUUUUUAACUUUUCAAAGCCGAAAGACUAAAAACAAUUUUAAGAUAUCUUCAAACCCCCUGAAUUAAGGAAUAUUACUCACAAGAUCCAAUAAAUAGCUUGUCGCAAUUCUCAAGAGGAGGAAAGGAGAACUUUCGUACUGGCCUCCCUGCUAUAAGAGCUUCAAAUUAAUCAAAGCUCAGCCUUUUGUUUGAUUAAGGACAGAAAGUAGUACCAUUUAAUCUCAAGCAAAAAAAAAACCUGAUGCUUAUCAUAAAUGGCAUCAUGCAUGUGGCGCUUUCCAAAACCUCUUCAAUUUCUAACUCUGCAUUAUUUUUCCACGAAAGCGCCCAAGUCUAGUGGAGUAAUUGGGGUUCAUAAACGCUUUCAAGCUAUCCAAAAUAUCCUAAGCCUCCAACUGAACCAAGGAAUUUGAAAUUCUAAAGUAGCUGAACUAGCUUUUUAUCUCAAAGGAGGAAUUUUAAUUACCUUGAAUAUUUAUUACUAUUAAUCAACAGUUAUUUACAAAUAUAAAAAGUCUUAAUUAACUUCAAAUAAUUGAAAAAUAAAAAAUAAAAAAUAUCAUAAUUUAAUUUAAUUUAAUUAAAUAAUCAUAAAAAUAUUUUUUAUUCAAUGUUUAUUAACUUAAAAAAUAAAAAAGAGACACAUAAUGAUAAAAACAGGAAAAAUUAAAAGAAAGAAACAAAUUAUUUAGGAUUAUUUUAUUAAUAAUGAAAAAAAAAGUCAUAAUUUUGAAGUGACAAAACAAAAAUCUAAAGUAAUAAUAUUCUAAUUAAAUUAGCAAUAAUUUUUUAAUUGUUUUCCUUUUUUUUUCUAUUUUCUCCUAGCUCUUUCCCUUCCUCUCGUUCCCUUCUCAUUAGUGUCAAAAUGUACAGUGGUUCCUUUUUUUUUUUUCUUCCCCUUCUUCCGCUCGCUCUCCUUUGAUCUCCUUGCACCACCAUGACUACAACCCAAAAUCAGUAUCACCAAGACAUUAACACCAUGUAGUGAAAUUAAUUUCCAACAACAACUAAAAAAAUUUAAUAAAUUUACAAUAUAUUCAUCAACAAUAAAAACUCGAAUCCUUAGACUGCGUUAAAGUUAAAAUUGAUCUGACAAGAAUUUGGUUGAAAUCAGAUUUAUCAUCUAUUGUUGAUAAAGUUAAAUUUACUCUCAUAUGUUUCAAAUUUAUUGAUGUUCAUCAUUUCAUUAGAGAAGCGGUUUUAUUUUAAAAUUUUUGUUAAAUUUUGUUGCUAUUGGGCUUUACAUUUAACAAAAAAGAAAAAAUAAAAUAGAGAUGGAGGUGUUGAUUGAUACUGAUUAGAAGUAAUAAAGGGAGAAAAAGUGUAAAGAGAAAGAAUUUAGAAGAAAAUAAAGUUAGUGUUGGAAAGGAUUACGGGUAUUUUAGGGUUUUAACAUUUUAUUAACUGUUUGACUAUUGAUUUUGGAUGGCCAAAGGGGGAAAGAAUACAUUUUUAAAAAAUGUAAUUAGAAAGAUCAUUUGUUUUCAUUAAGAGAAAAGGCAAAUCAAGUCCACCCAAUAUAUUUUAGUAAGUCCCACGACCACGGCCCAUGGCUAUUCAAAGAUUUCCACAAAAGCAUUCAUUAUAGUGGGUAGAAAUUUUCGUUUUGAAACAAGUUUCCUGCAAAUUAAUUGCAUUGAAAAAGUGGGUGUGUGUUAUGUAAUUUGGAUGAAUUUGGCUGUAUAGUGUAUAAGUCAAGUGACUGUUCACUUUGGAAUUAAUCAUGACUUUUUUUAAUAAAAAAUCACUUUCAGCCUUAUUCGGAUGAUUUGUCACUUCUUACUUAGUCUCUAAUAUUACUUUGACUAAGUAUUGAUUGCUUGUAUAUGGUCAUUAAAUUAUAUAUAUAUUUUUAUACCUUAUGAUUGAUAUUUGAAACAUGCUUGUAACUUUUUCUUCUAAGGGAAGUUAUAAAAAAUUUAAAUUUUAUAUUGCACGAGUGGCUGUCUUGGAUUUACACAAUAUUCAAAAGAGCCCCUUCGAAGGAGAUUUUCUUCCUGUCAAUGCCAUUUCAGCCUUUACUUUUAUAACCUACUAUUUAUUUAUUCAUUUGGUAUUUAACUUUUGCUUCAUCUAAUUAUCCGAUCUCGUAUUUGAGAUAUUAUUAAAAACUUAAGUCACAAAAAGAAGAAUUUUUUUUAUUUUUUUCUUGAUGAUCGAAAUUCAAAUUUGUUUGAAAAAAAUAAAAAUUUUAGAUUAUAUUAAAAAGAGUAAACUCCACAUAGAUCUUUGUGGCAAGAUCUUUUUUCAUGUAGUACCCUGAGAUUUUUUUUUUUUGCAUAUAAAAUUUUAUAUUUUACUGCUUUUUUCAAAAAAAGUAACCAUGUUAAAUUAUCAGUUAUUUUUUAUAAAAAGACUAUAACAACUUUUGUAUUUUAAUCUUUUUGGUUGUUUAAUUAAAAAACAUUAACGUUUGUUUGGGUUUUUUUCUUUUCUAACUUUUCUCUGCUUUUGUCUGCUCACUUUCUCACUAUCUAAACAAGAAACAUAUAUAGAAAAAAUUCUAGCUAGAUUUUAUUAAAAAAAUAGAUAAAUAAUAAAAANAAACAUUAACGUUUGUUUGGGUUUUUUUCUUUUCUAACUUUUCUCUGCUUUUGUCUGCUCACUUUCUCACUAUCUAAACAAGAAACAUAUAUAGAAAAAAUUCUAGCUAGAUUUUAUUAAAAAAAUAAUAAUAAUAAAAAGACUGACUUUGCUUACAACGGUAGGGGUAGGUCUAAAGCUGAUUUUAUUAUCAGCAUAUUUAAAGAAGAAAAUUUCCAGCCAGAUUUUGACCUUUCAUCAUUUUAUAUCAACAUCUUGGCAUUAGAUGCAGAACUUUUUUAAUCUUGGAGAGACGUGGAAGCUUUUCAAUGAAUGACUUUGAUUACAAAGGAACUAUUCACUUAGGCAUUUAAACACACUUCCCUGUAGUGAUCCGCUGCUCUGGACAAUGAUUGCAUAAAAACACAAAAACCUGGACCCAUCGUGCCGCAAAUAUGGAAGGAGUACACUUACCCAGCGUACUUGGUAGUCUUCUUUAAGCUUGCUGGUUUUGGACAAGUAAGAUAUUUAGUCAUUGAUGUUGGAAUGAGAAGGUCAAAUAUAUAUGCAAUUAAGAAUUUUGACGAAGUAAUUACCAAUAUUCAUCUUCUUAAAGAAAAAUUUUUAGAUGGAUUCUCUGUUUAGAAUCAAGUGUUAAUUUUUUUUAAUUAAACAAACAACAAAACAAAAAGAUUAAAACAUAAAAGUUGUUAUUGUCCCUUUAUAAAAAAAAUUAAUUGACAAUUUAACACCAUUAUUACAUUUGAGAAAAGAAGUAAAAUAUAAAGUUUUAUCAGAAAAAAAUAAUCUCAAGGUGCCAUGUGAGAAAAAAAUCAUAUCACAAGAGAUCUACGAAGAGUUUAUUCUAUUAAAAAAUUAUUAUUACUAUUUAAAUACAUAAACAUCAAAAUCAAGACAUGGAUACUUAAGGUUUUCCUCUUUGUUAGUUAGUAAGAUAGAUAAACUUGUUAAAUUGCACUAGGGCCAAAAUAACUUUUUAACAUAGACAGUAGUGAGAUAUAGUAUAUGAUAACCUUUGCAGAAAAAACACAUUAGUUAUGCAGCCUCUUCCCCUUUUUUGACGAGAAAAUCUAUAAGCAUUUUCAAUUAAUCAUAUCUUAAUCAAAAACAACAUGUUGGGGAGAAAAUUUAGAGUGUGCGAACAUCUCAACUUUAACUAAAUCAUUAGGAACAGAAAAAAGAAAUGGAUCAGCAAUAAAAUACGAAAAGAAAUUGGAUAGGGGGGCCAUGUCUCUUUUUAACUCUUCUGAAAUGUGCAUGAAUCUAAUUUUUGCGUAGCAAGGGAUCUGGUUUACGCUUCUUAUAUCAUACAAACAGCCUUCAAUAACAAUAAGCACGUUGAUUUCAUGUGAGGAGAUGGAUUCUUGCUUUAUAUAUAUAUAUACCUUGCAAGUAGGCAUUGUUGUCAAAAAUUGAUUAGGCAGAUGGAAUCCCAAAAAGGGUUUUGUGCAUAUAUAGAAAAUUUUUGCCCUUCAACCAAAGAUGGAUGAAAAGGAUAGAGUUCAAUUCUGAUUCAUCCCCCCCUGCAUAAGCACCCAUAGAAAAAAUUGAGUGACGAGAUCUAUGCAACUUUAACAAUUUAUGAAGCAAUGAUUCAAUUUUGAAAUUUAUGAAGCAAGAAAUCUGGUUAUCUCCAUGUUAAUUAGGGUUUCUUUGCAUUUUGAAGAUUUCUUUUCAAACUUCAUAAAGUGUUUGAAGGUCUUUGGAAGUUCAAACUUCACAUACAAAAACUUUGGUCAAAAGUUGUUAAUCAAAUGCUUUGGUCAGUCAAUAAUUUUGAACUUUAUUCUAAAUGCUCAUCAUUAUUCAUUUUUGGUAUGCAUUAGAUUGGGCUUCCAAUCUAACCCAUCAAAAUUUAGUGUACACUUUACUUUACCGAAAGGAAAGGUCCACUGUAGUAUAACUUUUAUCAUCAUUAACCCAUUGUGAUAAUAAUGGGCUUCCGAGUACAAUACUAAUUAUGAAGGAUAGGCUUCUCAUUCAAUAAAAUUUUGAACGCAACAGCAUACCAAAAUUAUUGAUUUUCUCCAUUCUUUAAAUGUAUCUUCACAUUCUGUUCAUUAUUGAUUUUAUUGUGAAUCGAAUCAAAUUUUAUAAUAUUUAUCAAGUAUUACAAUUUUAACAAUUGUAGAUAAAAUUAUUGAAAAUUCCUUUACCCCAAACCCAUCUUGAUUGUUGAAAUACAAUUAAAAACAUUCAUCAGUCUUACAUUAACUGAACAAACAAUUACAUUUAUUUUCAGUAAACUAUAACUUGAGACACCACUUUUAUUCUCCCAUCAAAGCGGAAACAUGAAACAGGUAAAGAGCACACAAAUCUAGUUAUUGCAUUACCCAACACACCCAAAUGAGCUUUUUCAAAUACUAGCCCAAAACACGUACAGCUUACUACCAACAUCAUCCAGUUUUUGAUAGUAAGCAAACCUCCAAGACCUGAUGAAAAACAGGGGAGCCACCUGUAGACACCUAAAUAAUAAUAAUAAUAAUAAUAAUAAUAAUUAAUGAAUAAAUAAUUUUAGAUUAUAAUAAAAUAAACUAAAAAUAAUUAAAAAAAAAGGAAUGGCUGGGCGUACAGCAUUUGCAAAAAAGCCAAAAAAAAAUUGAAACAAAAAAAAUCAAGAAUUAACCCCAAAAAAAAAGGGNNNNNNNNNNNNNNNNNNNNNNNNNNAAUAAAAUUAAAAAAAAAAAGGAUGGCUGGGCGUACAGCAUUUGCAAAAAAGCCAAAAAAAAUUGAAACAAAAAAAAUCAAGAAUUAACCCCAAAAAAAAAGGGCAAGAAAGAAAAAAAAAAGAAGAAGAGAAGAGAGAGGUGAGAGGUCGGCAAAGGAGAAAGAAAGAAAAAAGAAGCCAACGGGGAGAAGAAGGAGAAGGAGAAGGAAAGGAAGAAGAAGAAAAAGAAAAAAGAAGGGAGAUCCGCAGGGAGAAAGGAGAGAAAGAGAAUUCAAUGACUCUAAUCUAUCCAAAUUACAUCUAGACAAGCUCUGUAUGAUUUCUAAUACCUCAUGAUCAAUUUCAUUCCAUGACAAAUCAAUCUCCCUUAAAUUGCAAAGACUUUCCAAAAAUUUGGGUACUAUUCCUUUAAGUAAGUUAUCUGAAAGAUCAAGGUGAGUAACAGAGCUCAAGUUUCCAAUGGCACUCCAAAUAUUACCUUGCAAGCCGAUAUAUCUAAGUCUAAGGAAUUGAAGAUGGUUUAAAUUAGACAACCAGCUGGGUAUCGAUGGUGAAGAGAAUGAAUACGAAAGAUCAAGAAAUUUGAGAGAAGACAUGUUUCGAAAGCCAUUGGGAAUAACGCUUCCAAUACUAUUCCCGCUAAGAUCAAUGGACACAGGACUAGGAAGAUUGAAUAUCCAUGUAGGUAUUGAAGAUAACAUGUUCGAUGAAAGGUCAAGAACAACAAGAGAUGUAUAAUUAACACUGACUGGAGAUGGAUCAUUAUUUAGAUCAAUGCAACCUGACAAGUGCAACUCUACCAAAGAAGGAAGUUUGUUUGUUACCUGCAGCCAAUCAGUUGCUUUACUAAGAUUUGCUUCACUCAGAUCGAGAUACUGCAAAGAAGGAAGGCUAGAAACCCAUUGAAGAGUUUUAGCUUCUAAUGGGAAAUUGUGUCCAAGAUCAAGAUAAUGCAACUUGGAGAGAUUUCCAAGCUUAUAGGGAAUUGCUCCUCCGAAAUGUGCCUUAGAGAGGUUAAGAUAUGUUAAACUCUUUAGCAAACCGAUGAAUUCGGGAAUCUGCAUGCCCUCAAAAUCGUUAUUGCUUAAGUCUAGAAAACUGAGAUGCUUCAAAUCGAGCAAAGAAAGAUUUAUUUUGCCUCGUAGCUUUGACCGAUGGUAAGCUUCCCAUUCAGCAUCUGUUGCAUCCGCUUCAGGCAUCGAAAGAAGCCCCAAAUGCAGCUGAUGGACAUGGCCAGUCCGGUUAUCGCAAAGAACACCAACCCAUUUACAGCAAUCCUCAUGAUCACCUUCAACCCAAAAAGAUAGCCUGUUUGAUUCAUCAAUGAGAUCAUGCUUGAACUUCAAAAGGGCUUGUCUCUCACUUUCGAUGCAAAGCACAUUGGAAUUCCCAUCACAAAAGCCAAUAAUGGUAGCUGCGAUGGCAAGAAGAAAUGCAAAUAAGGAAAUUGUAACUGCUCU
rnacentral:lncRNA from 1 species